GGGGGGGUCAACUUUGUAUGGGAGAAAUAAAAUACCUAUUUGGGCAGUUAUUGCCAGUGUCAAGAUAUAAACAUUCAUGCUUAAAUAAAUUUUCUAAUAGCAACAUUGUCCUAGAACCUAGAAAUUUAGAAAACCAACAUGGCGAAUUUACAUCAAGCCUCAAGGUUGGUGUUGUCGGUGUUGUUGUGGGCUGUGGCCCGAAAUUUUGUUUUUCCAUGCUAUUUCGUCAUUUUCCCAAACUACGAACGUCGAGUUGAGUUUUUAUUCCUCCGUUUAUGUUUUGUGCCCGUUUUGAGAUAGUGACUCUAGUGCUACACAGUGAAUACGAGAUAGUGACUCUUGAAAUCAGAAAAUGUCGGUCGCUAAAGAAAACCGAAAAGAAGACAGUCGCAGGUGUUCGAAGUGUGGCAAAUCCACGGCAAAGGAAAACGUUUCUUUGUUUCGUUUUCCAAAUCCCGGAGUUCGGAAUCUUUUGCGCUGCACCCUGUGGGCAAAAUACCUUUUUCCCUCGGAUGAACAGCACACUUCAAUAGCUUUUCAAAAAAAGCUGUAUGCUGAGCACAGAAUGCUGUGCCAAAAUCACUUCCACGAAGGUGAUUUUACAGAUGGCACUAAAGAAUCAUUACUAAGAACUGCAGUUCCGCAUGAGAUUAGACCUGUAUUCAUUCCUGCACUAACAUUGCCCGAGAAUCUGCAGCCAGGCCCUUCAUUGUAGAGAAGAAACUUCUCAUUUGAAUUACCUAGGUAAUA